rnacentral:lncRNA from 1 species
ACUGCUAGACAAACGAAGAACAUGGGUGACACUGUAUCAAGAAUUGUAGAUGUGAAGGUCCACAACUAAUCAAAUGACGCACCUAAAGGAUAAAUACGGUGAGAAGUCUUGUCCAGAAGACUUAAAACAUUGGAUCCUUGCUGGAAGAGGUCAAGAUCAUUGACUCAAGUCACCUUUCCUGAUUAAGAAGGAUGACCCUGGUGUUCCAAGCAUCGAGUGCACAAUCAACUGAUACUCUUUUCAGAAAACACUCUACGACACCGGAUCUGACGUCAACAUAAUGGUCGCAGUCACUUAACAGCUCCAGCAUGGAACCAUGCCCCUACAACCAAUAUACAUUCAGCUCCAGAUGAUUUUUAGGUCAUUGACAUGGGAGAAGACGAGUACGAUCCACCCAUCAUCCUUGGAAGACCGUUCCUCAACACUAUCAAAAUCAGGAUGAGAAGAAGACGACGCAACCGCAACCAGAGGAGGAAAAUCAUCAAGGACGGAUGGGCAGACUACGAAGGAGAAGUGGUAAGGUCUGAAGACAUACAGCUUGAAUAGAACUGUCCUAAGGAGACCAUAGCACCGAGUCAGGAAAAGAAGAUAGUUAUACACGAAGAGGAGGCGCCGCCGGAACCACUGACUACGCCAUCCAGCAAAUCCCAGGACGACUGAGAAAACACAAGGAGUCCCAUUCAGAGGACUUAAAAACAUCGAACGCCUUGCCAAGAGGUAAACUUGGUAGUUAUCCUUUUCCUUUCAAUUAUUCAAUUAUAGUUUGCUUAGUUAAUCAGGUUCAUAUCAUCUCGAAAAUAAAAAUAAAAAUGUUAAAAAUAGUAAGCCCCAUGUGAGUAUGCUCAUGGCAUAAAACCCAUAGGUACAUUCACUGUGGUGGCAUAAAAUAAAUAUGUUUUCAUCUUACAAUAAAAAUAUAAAAAUAAUAAGUGCAUGAUCCUGCUAAAUAAAUAACAUUUAUUGAGGAGGCUCAAUAUGAUAAAGGCUAGAUAUUUAUACUAACACUUAACCAGUUCCAUGAAGCUUUGUUGUCUAUUUGAGCUCCACAGAAUUCAAAGAUCAAGGAAGACUAGCCGGCGGAGGACAUUCUAAUCGCUGUCAGGGAGGUGCCGACAUUCAAAUACAACUCUAUCACCUGCUAGCUACAUCAGAAGAAAUUACGUCAAAAUCCAGCUUGGAGGAGAGCAU